rnacentral:lncRNA from 1 species
AAGGAACAAUAUCACUCGAUGUAACCAGAGGCUUUUUAAGAGAGGACUGUCAGAGCCAAAUAGAUCCAGGCACAUUACGGGCCAGUUCUGCUUUCUGUGCGCUCUCAAAACUUGCAGAACAGCCAAGAAGAUUUUGGAGAAUGCCUGGAAUGCAAGAUCGGGCCCUGGCUAUAUUUUUUUCCUAAAGGCCAGGCUAACAACCAAAAUACUUUUAUCCUUACUUUGCCUGAAGACACGGCCAAAAACAGAAGAUUAGAAAACAAAACCAAAAAAAGCCGGGGCUGUGAAGGCCAUGAAAACUAAUGAUGCUGUUUCCAUAACACACUUUCAUCUCUAGGAACGCUGAAAACAUGUUAGAAAUGUAAGCACCUAUAGUGGGACUGCAGUCACUGCAAACAGCCUCUUCUGGAGUGAAAUACAGCAGCUGUUCAGCAGCACCACCGUCUCCAACUUUUUUUUACGAGUUCCCUGGGUUGUUAUGAUGUCCUUUCUGCCAAAAACAUGUUGUUCUGUUUAAAACCUGACCAUCUAAUUGCCAGCUAAAAAAAAAAAUGACAAAAAACAAACCAGAGAAGACAUAUUUUGACGCAGAGCAACAUUAAAAUGUUAAGUGCUGGGAACUUGCUGAAACACGGGGAUGUGUUUCCCAGCCUGUCAUUUCUGGACAAUCAGCCCAGCACAACUGAUCACACAGCAUACAUGACAGUCAUUUCCCACAUUUAUUGCCACAGUUUUUUCUAGUUUAAGACUAAUCUCCUCAGGGUUUUCUCUUGUUCUAAAUCUGUUCAGGCUGACUUCUGCUCCACAGACAGAGCCAUAAACAAGAAAAGGAAGCAGGCCCAGAGCUUCUAAGAAAUUAAAAGAGAAAUGCAAAGGGGGAGAAAAAAAAUAAUAAAAAUAAUAAUAAAAAGAAGCCGCGAGCCAGGAGUAAACCCAUUUGCUCUCAUCUCCUCCGCAAGGUGGCUGUGCUGCUCCCCGGACACAGCGGGGUGCUCAGGAGGCUUUGGGGGGCCUCUCUCCCCUCGCAGCGUGGUCGCGAUGAUCGGGAACAAACCCCCCCCCUUCGCCGCCUGUCACUCCGUGGCACGGCACCGCUGCAGCCCGCAAACAGCCCCUAGCCCUGGCCGGUGCCCCGGCGGGAUGGAAUUCCAUCUGCCGGCAGCAGG